CUCGAUUAGGUCGCAGUUACAUGCAGCUUAGGAGAAGGAGGUAUGAUUAUUAUCUCCACUUUACAGAUGAAGAUACUGAAGCUGAGAGAAUUACGUCACGAAGACCAAGUUACUUGGCUGAUUAUGAUGGAGUUAAGAUUGGAACCCAGGCAGUUGGGUGCCCCAGCCCACUCUCUUAAACCCGGUCAAUAUGUUCUCUUUCCAGAAACAGGAUCUGAAAGCCAAUCGCUGAGCCUCCUGGGCCAUACACUGUCCCACCAUUUCAGAAGAAACUCAGUGAGGAGAGGGCAGAGGGAGAAUAUGUCCAGCAUCUCAGCCUCAUUGUUUUCCACUUGGCAGCCCCCUCCGGUUCAGGAUUCAUUUGAAGCAGCCCACAGGGACGGGUGACACUGAGGAAACAAAACCCAGGCCCUCCGGCCUCCGACCGAGCGGUGCAGAGCAUGCUGGGAGAUCACUUCCACCUGAGGAGCACAAAAGACCCCAGGAGUGGAGGAAGCUGGCCUGAGGCCAACCGGAUGUAGCAGACUUGCUGGGCCCAAGGAGGGAGGUCUGGUGAUGGAGCCUCGAGUACAUAUCCUUCCAAUCCUAAGGUAAACAGCGCUUGGGGCUUUGGCUGCAGGGAGGGCGUGGCCCAUUGAAGUGGCUGGUACAAGGCGCGUACAAGGCAGGCCUUCUGAUUUUUUUUUAAACUGUCUUAUGAAUUAUACUGUACCUACAGAAAAAACACAACAGGAAACUUAAAUGAAUGGCUCAGUGAAAUUGCAAACGUUUGCCCAGAUCAAGACCUAAGAUGUUAGCACUUUGGAAAUCUCCCUCCUGCCCUCUCUAAAUUGUUAUCCUUCAUCCAUCCCUGUCCCCAAAAGUGACCUCUUUCUGGAUUAUAAACAUCAGUUUUGUCUGCUUUUGCAUUUAAUAUAAAUACAAUGCAUUCCUUUUUUUUUUUUUUUUUUUUUUGAGACGGAGUCUCGCUCAGUCGCCCAGGCUGGAGUGCAGUGGCGCGAUCUCGGCUCACUGCAAGCUCCGCCUCCCGAGUUCACGCCAUUCUCCUGCCUCAGCCUCCCGAGUAGCUGGGACUACAGGAGCCCGU
rnacentral:lncRNA from 10 species